GCGUGAGGGAUGACGGCCUUCGGGUUGUAAACCUCUUUCACCCAGGACGAAGCGAAAGUGACUUAACUGGGAAAAGAAGCACCGGCCAACUACGUGCCAGCAGCCGCGGUAAUACGUAGGGUGCGAGCGUUGUCCGGAAUUAUUGGGCGUAAAGGGCUCGUAGGCGGUUUGUCACGUCGGGAGUGAAAACUCAGGGCUUAACCCUGAGCUGGCUUUCGAUACGGGCUGACUAGAGGUAUGCAGGGGAGAACGGAACUCCUGGUGUAGCGGUGAAAUGCGC
rnacentral:rRNA from 1 species